AAUGUUCAGCUCGAGAAUCGUUUGAUUUCACGUCCUGGUAUGAUGCUUCUUGCCGCUACGAACGAUGAAGGAAUGUGAAAGAAACGAGUCUGUUUUAGAAUGCACUUCAAUUAUUGUUUUAUGCACCAGACAAAUAAUACAAAUAUAAAUAUUAAUUGCAGGGUCAAAAGGUAUUAGAAAUAAUCUCUUGUAUACUUUAAACAUAUAUUAAAAUGAUAUUGUAUCACUGA